GUUGCCAUAGAACAUAACAGUGCACAGACAAUCUUCCCACUACAUAAUCAACGUGAGAGCUCCAAGACAAAUUAGAAUCCAGUAGAAGACAGUUUGCUUUUUGUAC
rnacentral:lncRNA from 1 species